GGAGCAUUGAGGGAGGUGCUGUGUGUCAGGUUGGGGAGCAUAGCAGGAGAUGUUGUGGUCAGGUUGGGGAGCAUGGCGGGAGAUGCUGUGGGUCAGGUUGGGGAGGGUGGCAGGAGAUGUGGGUCAGGUUUGGGAGCAUUGCAGGAGAUGCUGUGGGUCACGUUAGGGAGCAUGGCAGAAAUAUGAUGUGGUCAGGUUUGGGUGCAUGGCGGGAGAUGAUAUGGUCAGGUUGGGGAGCAUGGUGGGAGAUGCUGUAGGUCAGGUUGGGGAGCAUGGUGGGUGAUGCUGUGGGUCAAGUUGGGGAGCAUGGUGGGAGAUUUUGUGGGUCAGGUUUGGGUGCAUGGCAGGAGAUGUUGUGGUCAGGGCUGUAGUUACCACAAGGCAAACAAGGGGGCACUUUCAGGGGGGAGGCAAAAACACCACCCCAAGCACUCAGGCAAAUGCCUUGUUUCCUGGUGGGCCCAAGAGCUGGCUGGCUACCCUAGCCCCCCUCCCUUGGUGUUAAACUACUAAUAUUCUAUCCGUUGUCCUCCACUCUUCUUGCUCCCUUGGGGGGAGCAGGCUGGCAGGAGCUGGGGAGCAGGCUGGCAGGAGCUGGGGAGCAGGCUGAUAGGUGGGGGGGAGCAGGCUGGCAAGUGUUGGGGAGAGCAGGUUGACAGGUGUUGGGGGAAGCAGGCUGACAGGAGUUGGGGGGGAGCAGGCUGACAGGAGUUGGGGGGGGGGAGCAGGCUGGCAGGAAUAGUGGAGCAGGCUGGCAGCUAACAGGGGAGUAGCUUUGUGUAAAGUUAGAGAACGACUGACAGGAUGGUCUUGUAGAGCAAUAUUGUAUAUAGAUCUGACCCAAAUAAAGGGUGGAGAUAUACAGAGAUGUUGUAGAGAUGGUCAGGUUGGGGAGGAUUGCGGGAGAUGAUGUGGUCAGGUUGGGGAGCAUGGCGGGAGAUGAUGUGGUCAGGUUGGGGAGCAUGGCGGGAGAUGAUGUGGUCAGGUUGGGGAGCAUGGCGUGAGAUGAUGUGGUCAGGUUGGGGAGCAUUGCGGGAGAUGAUGUGGUCAGGUUGGGGAGCAUUGCGGGAGAUGAUGUGGUCAGGUUGGGGAGCAUGGCGGGAGAUGAUGUGGUCAGGUUGGGGAGGAUAGCAGGAGAUGUGGGUCAGGUUGUGGAGCAUUGAGGGAGGUGCUGUGUGUCAGGUUGGGGAGCAUGGGGGGAGAUGCUGUGGGUCCGGUUCGAGAGCAUAGCAGGAGAUGUUGUCGUCAGGUUGGGGAGCAUGGUGGGAGAUGCUGUGGGUCAGGUUGGGGAGUAUGACGGGAGAUGAUGUGGUCAGGUUGGGGAGCAUGGCGGGAGAUGCUGUGGGUCACGUUAGGGAACAUGGCAGAAAGAUGAUGUUGGUCAGGUUUGGGUGUAUGGUGGGAGAUGAUGUGAUCAGGUUGGGGAGCAUGGUGGGAGAUUUUGUGGGUCAGGUUUGGGUGCGUGGCGGGAGAUGUUGUGGUCAGGGCUAUAUUUACCACACUCCCCCACUUUCGGGGGGGAGGCAAAAACACCACCCCAAGAACCCAGGCAAAUGCCUUGUUUGCCUUGUGUCCUGGUGGGCCCAAGAGCUGGCUGGCUGGCUACCCUAGCCCCCCUCCCUUGGUGUUAAACUACUAAUAUUCUAUCCGGUGUCCUCUGCUGUUCUUCCUCCCUUGUGCUCCCUUCUGUGAUGCCGGAAGCCAGAAUAUGAUGUCACACUGGUUCCGGCAUCACUAAGCGAUGCAGAAGGAGCUGAGCAAUAAGAGCUCAGUUCCCUCGCCGCCCACAUUGAGCGCCAGCAGCCCCAGCAGAGCUAGCCCAGCCAGCAGUUCCAUUAGAGCCAGCAGCCCCAGCAGAGCCAGCCUAGUCAGCAGGAGCCAACAAGUAGCCUGCCGAGCCAGCCCAGCAAAUGUCAGGGACAUCAUCCAAAGUUAGGGAGGCUGGGUGGAUUUAAAUUUAAAAAAAAUAUUAAUAAUUUGUGAUUGCAAUGAGUGUAUGAGAAAAUGUGUGUGUGUCUGUGUCUGUCAGUGAGUGUGUUUGUGUCUGUCAGUAAGUGUGAGUGUAUGUCUGUGAGUGAGUGCAUGUAGUGGUCAGUGUGUGUCUAAGUGCGUGAGUGAAUGUGUGUGUCUGUCAGUGUAUGUGUAUCUGAGAGUAUGCGUCUGUCAGUGAGUGGGUGUGUCAGUGUGUGUCUCUGAAAGUGUGUGUUGGUGAAACAGUGUGUGUGCCAAUGACUGUGUGUGUCAGUGAGUGUAUAUCAGUGCAUGUAUCAAUGAGGGGGGGUGUCUGUCAGUCAAAAAAGUGGCCCUGACAUAAAUUGGUGAGGCAAAUUUAGUCGUGCUUAGGGCAGCACAAUCCCAAAAUACACCACUGGUUGUGGUUCAGGUUGGGGAGCAUGGCGGGAGAUGUGGGUCAGGUUAGGGAGAAUGGCGGGAGAUGAUGUGGGUCAGAUUGUGGAGCAUGGCGGGAGAUGAUGUGGGUCAGGUUAGGGAGAAUAGUGGGAGAUGAUGAUGUGGUCAGGUUGGGGAGCAUGGUGGGAGAUGCUGUGGGUCAUAAUGGGGAGUAUGAUGGGAGAGGAUGUGGUCAGGUUCGGGAGAAUACUGGGAGAUGAUGUGGUCAGGUUGGGUAGCAGACUGAGAGAUGCGGGGCUUUGCUGUGGUGCAGGCAGGCAGGCGUUGCAGAGCUGGGUGCAGGCAUGUUGGGCAGUGGUGGGGUUCAAGAGAUGGGGUUCAAUCAGGCUGGGAGGUCUUGGGGAGAAGACAGACUGGGUAGUGCUGAGUAGCAGGCAGGCUCACAGAUGCUAGGAGCAGGCGGACAGCAGGAGGGAGGUGUAUAAGAUGUGAAGGUCACCUAGAGACAGAGGAGGGAACGUCAAUAGAAGAGCAUCUGGUUGCAUUGUGUUACUAUGUUUUGUUAAGUAGGUCUGCAUCUUAUUAAGCUGUGUUUUCUGUACGCUGCUCUGCAUUUCAUUAAGUUGUGCUCCUUCUCUUGUGCUGCUCGACCCCCCCACCCCCCUCUGUACCACACUGUGUUAUUUUUACACCGUUCAAAACAAAUUCAUAAAUUUCCCAUAAGGACUGCAAGUCCAGCCCAAAGAGCUUACAAUCAAUCAACGUACACAGUGGUAGCAGCAGAUAUAUAACCAUUGUGUCUUUGUCUGUGAGACGAGAUGCUAUUAGGAGAUUGUGACAUGGCCAUCUGCGCCCCCUCCAAACAAUUGCAGUGCUUACCCCUAGAUUCCAGACUGCAGGUCCUUCACUUUAGUAUGAAUGAAAGCUCCUGACCUUGUGAUUUAAAGGGGGAUUGUCACUUUGCAGGAUAUGUGAUAUUAUGUUUACUUAUCCCUAUAUUUAACCAAUAUUUAUUUGCAAAGUGUGGAAAAUUUAAAUUAAAUGUGGGAAUUUACACUGAUUUAUCCUGCAAAUGGACGCCUCCAUCUUAGCUCCCCGUCAAUCAUUGUUACAAUGUCUGCUCCUUGCACCUGGCAGUCAGCAUCGGGAAAGCAUACAGAGAAGAGAAGAAUUGCAUUGUGUUAUCCUUUGUAAAAUCUUUCAUCUAAAUCUGAAAUAAAAUGGAACUUUACAGCGUCAGCUGAGCGCUCUCAGCCAAUGAGCAUGGUGAUUAUGCAGUCAGGCUUCGCUCAGUGGCAAUAGCUUCCACCAGCAGUAGGGGAAGGUGGUGGCAGGGACCUGGCAAGAUCCAGGUAAGUUGGCAAACUAUUCUUAAAUGGUAUGAUUACUUGCUUCACAAGGGUGCCAUGGCACGCUUGGCACCAUAACCACUACAGGGUAAAAACCUGCCUGGAAAAACAUAAAUGGGGCAGCUGUCUGUCAGAGUGUGCUUGUAAGUAUGUCUGUCAGUAAAUGUGUGUGUGUCAUUAUGGCUGUCUGUGUGUGUGUCAUUAUCUCCAUGUGUUUGUGUGUGUGUGAGUGUGCGCAUCUGUAUCAGUAUGUGUGUAUGCGUCAUUGAAUGUGUCAGCAUGUCUUUCAGUAUUUCUGUGUGUGUUAGUAUAUGUCUGUCUAUAUAAAUAUGUCUGUCAGCGUAUAUCUGUGUGUGCCAGCAUAUCUAUCACUAUAUGUGACUGUAUCUGUGUGUGUAUGUGUCAGUGUGUAUAUAUGUAUGUGUAUCUGUGUACCUGCAAGUGUAUGUGUGUAUGUGUAUCUGCAUGUAUCAUGAUGUGUAUCUGUGUGUCUGUAUGUUAUGUUAUCAGUAUGUGUAUCUGUGUGUGUGUUAGGGAUCGACCGAUUAUCGGUUUUACCGAUAUUAUCGGCCGAUAUUCUGUAUUUUUGGCAAUAUUGGUAUCGGCUAAUAUAGAUACCGAUAUUGCCGACAAUACAUGCCAUGACCGCCGGGCUCAUUGCAAGCCCAGUUGUCCUGGGGCUGCAGCUGUUACUUACCUUCCCAGCAGCUCCAUUCAGCUCCACUGUGUAAAUCUCGCGAGUCCUGCGGCCGUCAGAGCAUUGCCACGGGUUAUAAUGGCAACGCUCCGCGCGGCAUGCAGACUCCGAGAUUUACACAGGGGAGCUGGAGGAGCUGCUUGCUCCGGGCCCCCCCACUACUCAGCCAAUGCCAUAGCCCCCUUACCAGGCAAGAUAACAAGCAGGGAGGGGGGACAAAAAAUAAUAAUAAUAAAACCUAUAAAUGUUAAAUAUUAAAAAUAAAAUUAAAAUUAAAAAAUGCCCCNNNNNNNNNNNNNNNNNNNNNNNNNNNNNNNNNNNNNNNNNNNNNNNNNNNNNNNNNNNNNNNNNNNNNNNNNNNNNNNNNNNNNNNNNNNNNNNNNNNNAGGCUGACAGGUAUAGGGGAGUAGCUUUGUGUAAAGUUAGAGAACGACUGACAGGAUGGUCUUGUAGAGCAAUAUUGUACAUAGAACUGACCCAAAUAGAGGUUGGAGAUAUACAGAGAUGUUGGCAAGGCAGGAGAUGCUGAGGUCAGGUUGGGGAGGGUGGCAGGAGAUGAUGUGGUCAGGUUGGGGACAUGGCGGGAGAUGAUGUGGUCAGGUUGGGGACAUGGCGGGAGAUGCUGAGGUCAGGUUGGGGAGGGUGGCAGGAGAUGUGGGUCAGGUUUGGGAGCAUUGCAGGAGAUGCUGUGGGUCAGGUUGGGGAGCAUGGCGGGAGAUGCUGAGGUCAGGUUGGGGAGGGUGGCAGGAGAUGAUGUGGUCAGGUUGGGGACAUGGCGGGAGAUGAUGUGGUCAGGUUGGGGACAUGGCGGGAGAUGCUGAGGUCAGGUUGGGGAGGGUGGCAGGAGAUGUGGGUCAGGUUUGGGAGCAUUGCAGGAGAUGCUGUGGGUCAGGUUGGGGAGCAUGGCGGGAGAUGCUGUGGGUCACGUUAGGGAGCAUGGCAGAAAUAUGAUGUGGUCAGGUUUGGGUGCAUGGCGGGAGAUGAUAUGGUCAGGUUGGGGAGCAUGGUGGGAGAUGCUGUGGGUCAAGUUGGGGAGCAUGGUGGGAGAUUUUGUGGGUCAGGUUUGGGUGCAUGGCAGGAGAUGUUGUGGUCAGGG
rnacentral:lncRNA from 1 species